rnacentral:rRNA from 1 species
GACGUAGGGCGCAAGCGUUGUCCGGAUUUAUUGGGCGUAAAGAGCUCGUAGGCGGCUUGCCACGUCUGCCGUGAAAACCAGCAGCUUAACUGUUGGCGUGCGGUCGAUACGGGCAUCACUGGAGUUCGGCAGGGGAGACUGGAAUUCCUGGUGUAGCGGUGAAAUGCGCAGAUAUCAGGAGGAACACCGGUGGCGAAGGCGGGUCUCUGGGCCGAUACUGACGCUGAGGAGCGAAAGCGUGGGGAGCAAACAGG